rnacentral:lncRNA from 1 species
CCAAAGUUCGGAGGCCGGGUAUACCGGAUCGGGUCACAUUAGUUGUCACAGACCAAUUUACAUCAUUAGAAUGUGGGGUUAAUUUCAGAAACGGUCACUGAACUUACCAAAAAAUUACAAAACGGUCACUGAAAUUUAAAACUUUUAGCAACGGUCACUGAACUUCCGGGCGGUUACACUAAUGGUCACUUAAGUUUAAAAAAUUUCACAAAUGGUCACUGAAGUUACCAAAAUGAUUCUACUUCAAACUUAUGGACCACAACACGUGACCAAUAAAUAUUGAGGACCUCAGGGGCAAAUUUUCGGCCAAAAUGAAUUUUUUAAUAGUGCAAAACUGCCCUGGCUUUCUUCCAAAUUCGUCCAACUCCAUUGAUGCCCAUGUUAAUCACACCACAUAGAUCGCUCAAGCUCAUCUAGACGCAUCUAUCCAUGUUCAUUUAACAACAAACAACCAAGAAAAUCAAAAUAUAGAGCAUUUUUUGGAAAUACUGAACUCGCGGCAAACUAAUUCGUUUUUCGGCGACGGUGGUGGUUCCCAUGAUCGCGGACCACCCGUCCUAGAAUCCUCUCUUCAUGACGCACCUAUUCCAGCCAUGGGUUGUCACCAAUUUGUGCGCAAAGUGGAUGAACAGGUCGAACAGUUCAUACGCAAGGCAGCUGGGUUUGUCCACCUUCAAUUGAGGUUUCUACACCGUCCCAAUCAUCAAAUUCGCCCUUAAUAUCUUCAAUUCAGGUUUGCAAUAUGCUGGGUCAUAAAUCAAUUGCACCAAUCAACCAUCAAAUUGAGCCAAUUUCUGGAUUAUUUGCACCAAGUCCGCUCGCGAGAAAAUGAAUUUCAUCUAUCAAUUGGAGGCUCCAAUGUGACCCAGUAUGCAAAUCAACUUGUGGGAAAUGACAUUUAGGUUCAAAAGACUCUGGGUAACAGUUCAAUUGCAGAAAUUAUAGCUAUAAUAUACCAAAUUUUGGAAUCAAAAGUCAUCGGGUUUGGGGUUUUUUUGGUCAAAAAUUUGCACCUGAGGUCCUCAAAAUUCUUUGAUCACGUGUUUUGGUCCUUAAGUUUGAAGUAGAAUCAUUUUGGUAACUUCAGUGACCAUUUGUGAAAUUUUUUAAACUUAAG